rnacentral:pre_miRNA from 1 species
CUGGGUGUGAUGAGUUGGCAGUGUAUUGUUAGCUGGUUGGAUAUGUGAAUAGCAUCAGCUAACAUGCAACUGCUUGCUUAUUGCAUCUAC